CGCAUCAGUAUUUAGGUAAGGGUCUGCAAAUAUGCAACAAAUUAGAAAUGUAAUUAAGAUGACUAAACAAUGAAUGUCUUCAUAUGCCCAGAACAGGUUGCGAUCAUGUAAAUGCAUUUCAACAAGCUAAAGUCACAUAAUAGUUGUAGAAUAAGUUUUCAAUCUAAAUGAGUAGUCACAAACAAGCAAGAGUCCAAAAAAAAUCCAACCAAAUUCAAGUUUUAUGUAAUCAAAGAAGACGUUAAAAAGAAUAAGACAGAUGCAAAAUUCACACUAUGUACCCUGUUGCACAUGCAAUAUCAGCUAUCCAAAAGCUAAAAAAAG
rnacentral:misc_RNA from 1 species